AGAGUUUGAUCCUGGCUCAGGACGAACGCUGGCGGCGUGCUUAACACAUGCAAGUCGAGCGAUGAAGCUUCCUUCGGGAAGUGGAUUAGCGGCGGACGGGUGAGUAACACGUGGGUAACCUGCCUCAAAGUGGGGGAUAGCCUUCCGAAAGGAAGAUUAAUACCGCAUAAUAUAAGAGAAUCGCAUGAUUUUCUUAUCAAAGAUUUAUUGCUUUGAGAUGGACCCGCGGCGCAUUAGCUAGUUGGUAAGGUAACGGCUUACCAAGGCAACGAUGCGUAGCCGACCUGAGAGGGUGAUCGGCCACAUUGGAACUGAGACACGGUCCAGACUCCUACGGGAGGCAGCAGUGGGGAAUAUUGCGCAAUGGGGGAAACCCUGACGCAGCAACGCCGCGUGGGUGAUGAAGGUCUUCGGAUUGUAAAGCCCUGUUUUCUAGGACGAUAAUGACGGUACUAGAGGAGGAAGCCACGGCUAACUACGUGCCAGCAGCCGCGGUAAUACGUAGGUGGCGAGCGUUGUCCGGAUUUACUGGGCGUAAAGGGUGCGUAGGCGGAUGUUUAAGUGGGAUGUGAAAUCCCCGGGCUUAACCUGGGGGCUGCAUUCCAAACUGGAUAUCUAGAGUGCAGGAGAGGAAAGCGGAAUUCCUAGUGUAGCGGUGAAAUGCGUAGAGAUUAGGAAGAACACCAGUGGCGAAGGCGGCUUUCUGGACUGUAACUGACGCUGAGGCACGAAAGCGUGGGUAGCAAACAGGAUUAGAUACCCUGGUAGUCCACGCCGUAAACGAUGGAUACUAGGUGUAGGGGGUAUCAACUCCUCCUGUGCCGCAGUUAACACAAUAAGUAUCCCGCCUGGGGAGUACGGUCGCAAGAUUAAAACUCAAAGGAAUUGACGGGGGCCCGCACAAGCAGCGGAGCAUGUGGUUUAAUUCGAAGCAACGCGAAGAACCUUACCUGGACUUGACAUCCCUUGCAUAGCCUAGAGAUAGGUGAAGCCCUUCGGGGCAAGGAGACAGGUGGUGCAUGGUUGUCGUCAGCUCGUGUCGUGAGAUGUUAGGUUAAGUCCUGCAACGAGCGCAACCCUUGUUAUUAGUUGCUACCAUUAAGUUGAGCACUCUAAUGAGACUGCCUGGGUAACCAGGAGGAAGGUGGGGAUGACGUCAAAUCAUCAUGCCCCUUAUGUCCAGGGCUACACACGUGCUACAAUGGUAGGUACAAUAAGACGCAAGACCGUGAGGUGGAGCAAAACUUAUAAAACCUAUCUCAGUUCGGAUUGUAGGCUGCAACUCGCCUACAUGAAGCUGGAGUUGCUAGUAAUCGCGAAUCAGAAUGUCGCGGUGAAUACGUUCCCGGGCCUUGUACACACCGCCCGUCACACCAUGAGAGCUGGUAACACCCGAAGUCCGUGAGGUAACCGUAAGGAGCCAGCGGCCGAAGGUGGGAUUAGUGAUUGGGGUGAAGUCGUAACAAGGUAGCCGUAGGAGAACCUGCGGCUG
rnacentral:rRNA from 1 species